UACGAAGGGGGCUAGCGUUGCUCGGAAUUACUGGGCGUAAAGCGCACGUAGGCGGAUUGUUAAGUCGGGGGUGAAAUCCUGGAGCUCAACUCCAGAACUGCCUUCGAAACUGGCGAUACUUGAGUCCGGGAGAGGUGAGUGGAACUGCGAGUGUAGAGGUGAAAUUCGUAGAUAUUCGCAAGAACACCAGUGGCGAAGGCGGACUCACUGGCCCGGUACUGACGCUGAGGUGCGAAAGCG
rnacentral:rRNA from 1 species